UGUCAGGUAGCUGCACAAUGCCAAGGGUCUGGCAUUUGUGUUUUAUACCUGGCAUGUGAAUGACUUCAUCACUUCUGAAAUGGAAGUAAUUUCUGCUCUGAGUCUGACAGAUGAGUGUUUGAGACCACAGGUUCUUCUAGGUUGCCUAGCGUGGUAUUGAUCUGUUAGGGUUAUUUCUGUCAUUUGAACUCCAUCAGGUCUUGGUUGUCUUGGUUUCCACAUCUGUGUUUCAUCUGUUAUUUCAUUUGGGGCACUUCUAUGUCUCAGUGUCUGGGCUAAAAACAGCAGGUGAUUUGUUCAAAAAUAUGGGUCCUCUUGCUAGUCCCACAGUCUUUCUUUUCAGCUAUAAGGUGCAUGAGGGGGUUUCAGAGGCCACAGACUUUUUCAUUCAGCUCUUUGAGCUGAACUGAACAUGAUUUUUCUUCAUCAGCUGGAUGCCUUCUCCUAAUUACAGUGAGGAAGAGGAAUAAUCAGCCUGAAGGUAUUCCUGUGCUGGUUGGACAGACUCACUUUGCAAGCCCAAACGUGAACUGAAUUCCUCUGAGAGUCUGUAAGACCAUCCGGGUCUGGAGUUCAUCACCAUUUGCCCUGAUUCUUGUUUGGCAACUUCUUGGUGGGGCUUCCUGUGACCUGAGAAGUAAGAGCAGAAGGAGAGUGAGAAAUUGAAUUUUGGUGAUCUGUUGCUAUUAUUCUUCACUGUCUCAGGCAGCUAGCCAGCCCUCUGGUAAAUGCAGUGUUGGUCAGAAAAGGGCUGUGAGAUGCAGCAGGGAAAGAGGCACUGGUCCAGUGCUGAGAAGAGUGAAUCCCAGAUGGUUCAUAGAAGGAGGCAGAUUCUCAGUAUUUAGCUGAGAAAUAACCCGGGGCCCUGACACCACAUUUCAUUCCUUGCUGGUGAACCCCUUCUGAAAGCUAAGCAUGGGGACAGCUCUCUCAGCUGGCCACAGCAAACAUAAGACUUUGGCAAAGUCAGCUCUCCUGUGCUGGCAGAGAAACACCUCAGCUGAGGAGCCACCAUACUACAGAUGCAGCGAGGCCACAGAUGGACCCCCACGUGCCAGCUUGGGCUGACUGCGUGCACAGAGCUCCAUGACAUGAGGACUUCCCACCCUAGGCUGGGCACAACUCAGAGAUCACGUUCCACCAUCAUCUGUGACUUUUCUUUGUCCCUCUUCCACUGGAGCGUGUUUCUAGUUGCCCAACCCUCCCUUGCAUCAUAUCAUCUGGGGUUCUGUUUCAUCAUCCUUAGCGUUGUCCCCAUUGCCCUGGGUGGUCCAGUGCUGGCUGCUCUUACUUGUAGGCUGUGUGGGAGUGACCUAAUUUGGAGAAAUUGUGGAAGAACAUCAGGAAGCCCACAGGGAAGUGGGGAUUUCUGUGCUCCUUGGCAGGAGCUCAAGCCACGUAUUCAUCCCCUGCAGCUUCUAGGCACUCUUCCCUGGGUCAUCUACUCCUCUAGUCCCUGUGUUCGUCUCAUCCCAAAUGCUCCUCUCCAAGGAGACAGUUUAUCUCAAGUGCUUUGGAGAGGGAGUCACUGUUCUUAAUUACUUGGCGGUACAGAGGUUUCUGGUCUCCCAUUUUCCCUUGACAGUUUUAUUAUGGAAAUAUUUUUUACUUUGGGCUCUCUCCUUUGUGUUUUUGUGUGGUGUUUACAAUAGGGGCUCUUCAGGGCUUGCUCUCAAGAGACUGGCUUCAGACAAAAUGCGCAGCUCUCUCCGGGCAGGCAAGCAGAGAAAUGCCAGCUGUUUCGUAAGGAUGCUCUCUAGUCAGUGCCAGCUCCCCAGCCUCCAGUCCUACACCUGCCUUUUCUUCUCUUGGCCUCCACAACUGCAGGAGACUCGAGGGAUGGGACCAGUCCCAUGCCGGUGACAGGUUCCUCUUUGCAGCCGUGCUCUGCUGUGAUAUUUGGGACUGCUGGGCUAUGAGCUUCAUCCCUCAUGGAACUCCUCUCUGCCACUCCACCUAAUUACUGUUCCUUAUCUACUGUUUGUACAGAGCCAUGCCAAUAGAUGGAAAGGCAUGGUACGUACCCAGCAGAUGAAGAUGGGAUCUGGAAAAUAAAUGGAAAGAGUGUGAGGUUACUCUAAAUAUUCACUUCAAAUGGAUCCCUUGAUCUGAGCCUGUUGAGGUCUGUGGCAGUUUUGCUGGAGACUAAUGCCACGAUUACUUUAUAAAGAAAUUGUAUAAAAUCCUUAAUCUUCAGUAAAUUUGGGUUAUUCCAGUUUACUAGACAAGUGCUCAAGCCUACAGCAAUCUCAUUUAGGAGGUUUAUUUUGUGCCAUGAGGGCUAAAUAUAUUUCUGAGGCACAUACUUUAUAGACUUAGACAGAAACCUCUUCUCAGUUUACAUAAGAAUAAGCACAGAGAAGCAUCAUUAACCAAAAUUAAAGUAUUGCCCUGUCUAUGAUCCUGUCCACCAUAUUUAGUUAUUUUACAUGGAAUGGGUCUGUCUCCUCUCUGUGUACAUGGUACAAGGGUAUCACCGUCACCAUGUGAGAACAGGGCUUUUAAAGUAGAUUGUGUGUACCCCAGCCCAAGCCAGUCAGCCUGCCUCAGCAGUGGAGGCUUUCAGGGAGUGGGAUCUGUGUACUGUUCAGAUAAGGAAUGAAGGUCUGUUUCAUGUUAUGUUAGUAUUUUUCACUGGUGGUGUAGUUUCUGUUAGUAGUGAUGAGUAAAGUUGAAUUGGUGGGAAUGAAGCAGAACUGGUUUCCUAGAGAAGUCCCAGUGGAUCCGUGGUGGUUGCUUUGCUAAUACUUUAUUGCUCAGAGUUGACUCACUCUGUCCAGAGGAGGCCUGAUCAGCAGUGGCAGAAUCUGCCUUGCAGGACAGAGCCUGGUGACGUGGAUUCCCAGGAUGGUGAAGAUGGCCACGUGCCAUUACCUCUGACAGUUCCUCACAGGACCUGUCAGGAAGGUUUCUGCAGCGUGGCUCUGUGGUUGCCUGCAGUUUUGGUGCUUGGGGUUUGAUAUGUGCACAAGUUUUUGUGGGUGUGCACUCAUCUGUAAGUUGUAAAUUACUGUGCUGCUCAACCAAAAGACACUGUAGCUCCUUCUCAACACCCUCGAGAACUGCUGGCUGAAAACACUACCAGCAUAAAUAACCAGGGAGACCUGCAAUUUCCCACAUCCCAAAAUAGGAAAAUGGCUUCCAUUUCUCACCAUACUUAAUUUAUUUUUUUUUUUAAAGGGGGCUUGGACUGAAUGAAUCCCUGCUUUUUGGUCUCAGCAGCUGGCAGAAACCACAUGUGUGUACACAUGUGCAGAAACAGCCACAGUGCCAGGGCUGGAACACGGCCCUGCCACCCCCUCUCUGCUGAACUGUAACUGCAGGAAUUUGUUAUGAACUUGGGGAAAGAGGAGAGAGAAGAAUGAGCUGAAGGUCACACAGGAUUUUGGUACAUGUGUGACAGAGCAGAGAGGGUGGCAUCGCUGACAGUGCCAGAAAGAAGGAGAAAGGGCCAAUGAGGGAAGAGAGAUUAGGUGUUGGUUAGUAGGAGCUUCUCCUGGAAAUUUGCUCUCCACCUAAAAGCUAUCUGUCCUCCAACAAGGCAUGCUGUGACACCCCCAAGGCAGUAGGACUGGAUACAUCCCAGCUCCUUGCAACCAGGGCAGAGUUGUUCUUGUGCCCCAGGAGAGGCAGGGCCGCACUCUUCCUUCUUGUGUGCAUCCCUGGGGGCCUCUAGCUUGGCUGUGAACUGGUCUGGGCUUCACCUUUGACCAUUUGCUAACACCCAGUGUGAGAUGCAAUGGUAGCAUGGGUUUUCCAGCAACUUUCCUCAACAGAGCUCUCACCCCUCACACCAGGAAGGCCAGCAUCUCUUCUCAGGGCUGGUUUGCAGCCAGCCCCGAGCCUGAAGGCACUGCUGCUUUGAAGAGACAGUGGCAGCACAUCUCCCAUGUCCAGAGGAAGGUGCAGAAGACAGCAGGAAGAGAUGAAAGCAUGUUGAUUAACACCCAGGACCACCUGAAAUCAGAAAGGAGGCGGGAAGCAUUAUCUCUGAGUAUCGAGGCCAUCAGGAUGGAGCUGGAGUACCUCUGAGUGGAGCAGGCAAGGACAGAGAAAAGAAAAAUGCUGGGAUUUCAGAAGGAAAAAAAAAAAUCUUUUUCAUUUUCAAUACUUACUUUUCUACCAAAUCCAAGAGUGGAAAUUGGUGAAGAUGGCUUCAUGAAGAUGGCUUGAAUGAAGACUCAUCCUAGAAGGAAUAAAAUAGGACUCCCUGUUCCGUGGCAGAGGACAAGUCCAGUUGAGAGGGGUCAGGACCUUUAGGGACAAGGGUAGUGUACGUGCCAUACUCAUGGAAAAGUGCUCUCCAGAAUCCUGGACCCUGAAGGGAUGGGAGCCCUCAGAACUCCGUAAUUUCCAAGCAGGCAGGAUGAGUACAGCAUGCAGGGUAAGUCUUAAGGGAUGUUGCCUCAGGAGAAUCCUUCUGAAAAACAGUAGUUACAGGAAUUCCUGAGCCAGGAGAUGCUUCUGGGUGACUGUGUUUAAUAAUCACCAAAGAAGCCAGUUACAGCUACAACACCUCAUCAAGAAGUUCCACUGAGCAAUAAUGAGCAUUUUUUGCCAAGAUCCAGAGAGCUCUUAGUGCUGUCAUUUUAACUACAUUUUUAUAGUUGACAGUUUUCAAAACACUAUAAAAUUAUACAAAAGUGAACUUAAUGCUGUUCUGCCUAUGCUGGACUGUGAGCUGGAGCUGAAUUUGGUGUUUCAUCUCAGCCUCUGUAUUGCUAGAGAUAAAUACUCCCAGCACCCUGAUGAUGAGCAAAAAAGCCUCACAAUCAUAAAGGAAAUUGAGAAAACAAA